GCGUGAUUAGCUCAGCGGUAGAGCACCACCUUGACAUGGUGGGGGUCACUGGUUCAAACCCAGUAUCACGCACCA
rnacentral:tRNA from 1 species